rnacentral:misc_RNA from 1 species
AAAUUAUAAUCCAUCCUUAACGAAACAGAGUAUUUGAUAGUGUUACUAAAUGGGAAGGAAAGCGUCGCUCUUCAGCAGAGCACACACCCAGAUAUCAUCAAUUACUCGGGGCAUUGCUCAAAAAGUUGAAAAUUUUGCGAUUCCUGAUACCAUAGAAAGCUUUAUAUUACAAGAUAACAUACACCUUACCUGGAAAAACCCUAAGACAAAAAUUAACCUGCUGUGUAAACAGAUGAUUGAUGAUUGAUCAAAACGGCACCUUAGCAAUGGACAACAUGCCAUUAGAAGUAGCUCAUGGAAGCAUUAUCCAGUAGCCAUACCCACCUGCUUGGAGAAACAUCUCUGUUGUACUCUUUUCCCUAUUGCAUAUACAGUCUUCCCUUUUCAGCACCUAACUUCAACUCUGCACCCAGAAGACCCUGGCCAACCUUUAGGGUCUCGAUUAAUCCUGCAUAUGUGGUUGAGGCCUACAAGAAGCUCUGUAAUUGCCGCCUCAGUUUUUGCUUGAUUUGCAUAAUGGAGUGUUUGUACCAGAAGCACAUUUGUCCUUGAAGCCUCUUGCUCCCUCUCAAAAUUUCGCUCAGAGUGCCAUCUUAUCAUGUUAUGAGCCAGUGGAGACAACCAUUCAAGUAUUUUCGUGAGCACCAGGCUCCAAUUUGCUGCAAGGGAAGCAUCAAAUGCAGAUGGAGAUAGAGAUUUGUCAGCAGCCUUGAGCCUAGUUCUCAGAGCAGCUCGUAUACUUGUGGGUAACAUAUUGUAUAGGUCAUCUCUUGUUUCAAAGUCAAUCAUGUGAGGUGAUGAAGCUAGCCUCUCAACCAAUACAAUCAAAUUUGCAUAGUGGAGAGCUAAAGCAGCAUGACCAACAGUAGAUGGAAGGGCAUUCAACAAUCCAUGCUUCGAACUGAAAAGGGCUAAUUUAGAAUAAAUUCUAUUACUGCAAGUAAGAGAUCCCAUAUUCAAGUUUUCCAUUUUGCCAACACUUUUCAUAUAAUCACAAGUGAACUCUACAGAAUCACAGACACAUGGCUGCAGAAGAGGAGACUCAGAUCCGCUCAUCAUGCAUUCUUUGAAAGGUCCAACAUAAGCCAAUCGGCUGGUUCUAAAGUGAUGUUGCUUUCCAUGCAGAGUGGAUGAUUGAUGAUGAAGUUGUAGCUGCUUGUUUAUUUUAUUCUUCUCAGCUAUAAUUCCUGACUUUGAAUCAGACCUUCCCACAGGUCCUGAAGAUAAUCCACAUAAAAUACUCUCUGAAGGAUAUAUGGAUGAGUGCAUGGCAGAAAAGGAUCGGCUCCGUGGAACACAAGUAGGAUUCACAUGUUCAUGGCCAUUGUUUCCCUCCUGGGAUGACAGUUGGCUAAUCUCAAAAACAUGCUUGAUCCUCUGAAGUAUUGUUAGGAGUGAUCUUGCCAGAAGCCGGACAAUGUAAUCAUAAGUUCUAAUCCAUGGAGACAACUCACGUAAGUUUCUAACUUCCUGACGUUGCCACAUCACCUUCUGCUGAAACUCUAGCAAUUUCACUCUACUUAGAUCAGGAUUUGAACGCAUUCUUCUUAGAGUUUGCUCAAGCUCUGCAAGAACUUCAAGCUCCUGAGACAGUUGCAUGGUAAAUGUAACAAAUCUCUCCAUCUUUUUCACUUUCCUUUCCAUCUUUUUCAAUCUAUAAUCAAACCCAUACCAUUCAAGAUUGUUCUGAAGUGGGUUAUUAACAAAAUGUUCAAAACCGUGAAAAAGAGGAUCUAUGCAUUUCUUCCCGAGCCUGGCAACAGAUCUUGAUACGAGUCCAAAAUUCUCCAUUAUCUCAUUUAGUGCAAGAUCCAUAACAUAAUCAUCAUCAUCAGCUACAAGCUUUCGAAUCCCAAUUGAAUUCACAAUCUCUUUUCUCAACCUACAUAUCUCCUCGUCACUCAAGAAAUGCCAUAAAUGGACGACCUUGGACAUCAAACUUGCAACUUCAAAUGCCAUAACUCCAAUUGCUGCCUUGUCAGUCUCUGGCGCACCUUUCCAUGGAUUCAACCAUAAAUUACUAAACCACGACUCAGUCCCCAUAUAACUUGCUCAAUCAAAGUGCAUAUGCUACAAAAUUAGACAACACAUGUUGAUAGACAGGCGUUAUAUCUUAUUCAUAAGAUAACACAGCGAAAAAACGAACAUAGGCAGCCAACUGAAUGCAGGAGAGUACAGAAUAUCAAAAUUUUGAAUCUUAAAUCUAUCAAGUGAUCAGGACCUUCAAAAACAGAAACAAAUCAACAUGCCAUAACUAAUUCUCUCUAUCUCUCCACCACCACGCAGCGAUUUUGGACUUAAAAUUUAUUUUUAUUUUUUUAAUUUACAGAAAAUAAAAUUGAAGUUUCCUUUUAUCAUCCCCGUUUCUUUCAGCAACCAAACGAGGAUUGUUUAAUCUAAAAGUCAAGAUCUCCACAGCCGACCAAAUCACAAACAGGUGGAAGAUUGCAAUUUCAAAUUCACAAACAAUCCAAGAACACCAAAAUAUUAUGGCAGAAAGAAAAUACCAAUAACUUACACAAUCAAAAUGCUUCGAUAUCUCAAGAAACAUGAAAAUCUUCCAGGAUCCCGAAUUAACUCAAGCUCUUCACCUGAACCUCUAGAAUUCCGUAUCCAAGAUUAAAACAUACAGUUUAAGCCAAAUAUCUAAGUAAAAUUAAACUCGCUAGAGUACCUAUAAAUUAAAAAACAAAACUUUAAGGUAAGCCACCAACUUUCCCACAGAUUCCAGGCAUAAAAAGCCACACAGCCUCGCCAAAAACAACAAUGCAGCAACCAAAUUCAAUAAAAUCAAAUACCCAGAUACAAAUUAUGUCUCAAACCAUACAUGUCACAGAUACAUAUAAAUACACAAGCAGUAACGCUUACGGUUGCAGUGGAAGCUGGAAAGUAGCGAGCACUGGGCAAUGGCGAAUGGAAUUUGAGCUAAAGAACAACUAAGAGUUUGAAAUGGGUAGGAUUUAAAUCGCACCCACCAUAGGUAUCAUAUAGAAAAUAGAACAAGAAGAAAACGGAAUGAAGAGUUGAAGACAGAAGGAUGAGUAAAGACAAAUAGGAAUACGUAAAGAACUGAAAUUCGGUGGACUCGAGGUUAAAACUUUUCGAAUGUGACUUCCCACUUCUGGGAUUAUGCGCACAACAGGACAU